rnacentral:rRNA from 1 species
GAAGGGGGCUAGCGUUGCUCGGAAUGACUGGGCGUAAAGGGCGCGUAGGCGGAUGAUUUAGUUAGGUGUGAAAUUCCUGGGCUUAACCUGGGGACUGCNYUUAAUACAGGUCGUCUAGAGUGGGAUAGAGGGUUGUGGAAUUCCCAGUGUAGAGGUGAAAUUCGUAGAUAUUGGGAAGAACACCGGUGGCGAAGGCGGCNACCUGGAUCUUGACUGACGCUGAGGCGCGAAAGCGUGGGGAGCAAACAGGAUUAGAUACCCUGGUAGUCCACGCUGUAAACGAUGUGUGCUGGAUGUUGGGGAACCUAGUUUCUCAGUGUCGUAGCUAACGCGAUAAGCACACCGCCUGGGGAGUACGGCCGCAAGGUUGA